GAUGAACGCUGGCGGCGUGCCUAACACAUGCAAGUCGAGCGGACGGACGCGAAGCUUGCUUGUCUGAUGUUAGCGGCGGACGUGAGAGUAACGCGUGUAUCCCCUCCCUAUAAGACUGGGAUCACUUGGGGAAACCGGAGCUAAUACGAUAUAAUAUUUUGAACCGCAGGGUUCAAAGGUGAAAGACGGCCUUGCUGUCACUUAUAGAUGGAUCCGCGCUGCAUUAGCUAGUUGGUAAGGUAACGGCUUUCCAAGGCAACGAUGCAUAGCCGACCUGAGAGGGUGAUCGGCCACACUGGAACUGAGACACGGUCAAGACUCCUACGGGAGGCAGCAGUAGGGAAUCUUAGGCAAUGGGCGAAAGCCUGACGCAGCAACGCCGCGUGAGUGAUGAAGGUCUUCGGAUCGUAAAACUCUGUUAUUAGGGAAGAACAGCUGUGUAAGUAACCGUGCACAUCUUGACGGUACCUAAUCAAAAAGCAACGGCUAACUACGUG
rnacentral:rRNA from 1 species